UGUGACCUUCACUAUGCCAGUGUCCACUUCAGGAAGAGUGAGACGGAUCCCGUCUACUCCAGCGUUGGAUCAGCUGAACCCAGUGAACAGAAGGAGGUGGAGGAGGUUGCGUACUCUUCUGUCAACUUUAACAGAUCUGCCCCGAGAACCAGAGGUCAGGACACUGGAGAAGAUCCAGCUGCAUUGUACAGCACAGUCAAAACACCUCCUGCUGUUUAGACCAACGUCUGGAAAUCACCUUAGUCCCGAUGGAAAUAUCUCAACAGCUGCAGGAUGGAUUUGAAUAGAAUUUCAUAAAACUGUUCAUGGUCCCCACAGGAUGAAUCCUUCUGUGGUGACAGUCAGACUCGAGCAUCAUUGUUGAAGUGAAAGUUCAGUUUUAAGUGACUUGUCUUGACAGCUAAUGGAUAAAUUGCCCCGAGGAUGAAUCCAAACAACUUCAGUGACUCUACUAUUAUCUGAAAUAUAUCAGCAACUUGUAGAAGUUGUUAAAAACGCCACAUUUAGCCUGAAUGAAAUAUAUCAAAAAUGUUGUAGUGCUACACUGCUGCCACUAGAUGGUAGUAAAGAGUUUACUGAUAAAACCACAGAGAGGAUUCUGUCCCUUUCUCUUCUUUCUGUUUCUACACUAUUGUUUCCAUCGUUUCCAUCAUCAGCCGAUCAGGAGUUGAACUCAUUUCCUCUGAGGACUGGAGGGAGCACGUCUCAUGUGGAUGUGAGCUGCUACUCACGUGAUGAACGCCUUGAAUGUGACCGUUAACACAAAGUGAACUGCUGACACCAGAUGAGCUGUGUUGCCUCUGGUGUCUGUUCAAAGUUUGCAUCAGGCCCAUUGAUUUCACUUUAGUGUUUUGUGGUAUUUCUCACAUCACAUGUUAAACACGUGACGAAGAAGGAGUUAGGUGUGUUUUAAUCCACCAUGUUCACACGGCGGCCAUUUUCCUCUGACGUCUCUCUCAGGGUGUGAAGCUCGAAUGUUUUUACGAACAGAAUCAUUUUGUACUGCUAUGAUCCAGGUUUAUAAGUUACACAAAAAAGAUAAUAUAUUAUUACUUAUUCUUCUUUAGGAUUAUUGAUUCAUUAUUAUAAUAGUAUUGGUAAUUUUGUUUGCUGCACCUUUAAGAGACUGAUUUUAAUUAUACUUUUUCUAUUUUCAAAUUUACAUAUGAACAAUAUUCAAAUUUUAAGUCUAGUUCAUUUCAUUUGUUGUUCACUCACAACUUCCUCUUUUCUAACUUUGUUAUGUACAGUUUUGCAACAGGGAAGAUUUUCUUUCAGGGAUCAUUUAAAGUUUUUUUUAUUCUGUUCAUAUAUUUUAAUUUUUACAUUAAAUAUGAAGCUCAUUUGUUCCUAUUUGCUAUUGUUUUGAAACUCUUCCUAUAUUUUAAUCUCACUUCCAGUAUUUGUUCUUUCUUUCGUUCCUCCUUUUCAUAAUAAAGCCAUUUAGACGCCAUACGAGAAUUCCA